rnacentral:lncRNA from 1 species
AUACAUCUAAAACCCAACUUAAAGGGGAAGUGUCCGAGUGAGUUAUGUGAUUGAUUGUGUAAUUAUAUCAAAAAGGUAUUCAUUAGAUUGAUUUUAUAGCUCUUUUAAGGAUCUAGUAAUUGACCAAAUUUGUUCAUAUAUAAGAAUAUUUAGUUUAUUGACCAAAUUUGUUUACAUAAAAGAAUAUUUAGUUUAUUGACCAAAUUUGUUUAUACAUAAGAAUAUUUAGUUUACAGGAUUUCUUUUCCUACUUUUAAGUUGCAACCUAUAUAUUUCCUCCAUAAACUGAAGAAACCACUCAUUGAAUAAAAACUCAUAUCCAAAGACUCUAUUAUCUGACAAAACCAAUAUAUAUACAUAUACACAAUAAGCAUGAGUCGGGCAGUUCUGGUUUGGUUCUUCUUGGUGGUAACCCUAAUCUUGAAUUUGAGAACCGUAGGAGGAGUUGUGGGUGAAACUUAUCAUGUUCACAUCAUGAAUGGUCUGCAAACUAACUCGCACGCACUAAUCGUACGGUGCAAGUCGAAAAACGAUGAUCUGGGCAGGCACGUUUUGUGGAAAGAUGGCGAUUUUACUUUCCAUUUGAAGGUGAAUUUUUGGCAGACAACUCUCUUCUUUUGCGGCUGGAACUGGGGAAACAAGCGAGCCAUGUUUGAUGUUUUUAAAGCUGAUGAUGAAGGACAUGAAUGUGCCCAAACAGGAAACUGUUACUGGCAAGCUAGAGAAGAUGGUUUUUACUUCACUGCUAAUACAACUAUGUCAUGGGUCCAUAAGUAUAACUGGAAUAAUUAAUUUAUAUAUAUCCAUUAUCUGAUCUAAUCUAUUUUCAAUGAAAAAUAGUGGGUUUGAAUAAAAUUCUGAAAUUUUUGAAGAAAUAUUAUAUUUAUAUCAAAACUGGCAUACAUAUAUAUAUUAUCUAAUUAAUGAAAUAUGUAAAUUUUAAAUAAAAAAACAACCUCCAAAACUUUGUUCAUGCUCCAAUAUCCUACUCAUACUUAAUAUUCCUAUUUUCUUUCUGAAGAAAAAGGCAUAGAGCUCAAAAAACAAUUUGUAGAAAUCAAUUCAAAUGAUAAGCAUAAAAUAGAAAGAGGAGAGAGAGAUCAAACCAGUUAAUAGCAGAAAAUCCUCACUUUUGUCUUUAAGGAAACAUUAGAAGUCAUUUACAAACUUCUUCCCUGUUGAAUUCCCUACUAAAAAACGAGAACUCAACCAAAAUCCAACAUAUCCAGCAAGAAAUGUNNNN